rnacentral:rRNA from 1 species
GACGAACGCUGGCGGCGUGCUUAACACAUGCAAGUCGAGCGAGUGGAUUCCCUUCGGGGAUGAAGCUAGCGGCGGACGGGUGAGUAACACGUGGGCAACCUGCCUUAUAGAGGGGGAUAGCCUUCCGAAAGGAAGAUUAAUACCGCAUAACAUCAGAUUAUCGCAUGGUAGACUGAUCAAAGGAGCAAUCCGCUAUAAGAUGGGCCCGCGUCGCAUUAGCUAGUUGGUGAGGUAACGGCUCACCAAGGCGACGAUGCGUAGCCGACCUGAGAGGGUGAUCGGCCACAUUGGGACUGAGACACGGCCCAGACUCCUACGGGAGGCAGCAGUGGGGAAUAUUGCACAAUGGGGGAAACCCUGAUGCAGCAACGCCGCGUGAGUGAUGUAGGCCUUCGGGUUGUAAAGCUCUUUGAUCAGGGACGAUAAUGACGGUACCUGAAGAACAAGCCACGGCUAACUACGUGCCAGCCGCCGCGGUAACAC